AGAAUGAACGCUGGCGGCGUGCUUUACACAUGCAAGUUGAGCGAGGCCACCCGCAAGGGUGAGUCGAGCGGCGAACGGGUGAGUAACGCGUGGAUAACCUGCCCUUUAGUGGGGAAUAACCCGGGGGAAACUCGGGCUAAUACCGCAUAAGACCGAGAGGUGAAAGCGGGGUCGCAAGAUCUCGUGCUAAGUGGGAGGGGUCCGCGUUCGAUUAGCUAGUUGGUAGGUAAUGGCCUACCAAGGCGACGAUCGAUAGCCGGCCUGAGAGGGUGAUCGGCCACACUGGAACUGAGACACGGUCCAGACUCCUACGGGAGGCAGCAGGUGGGGUAAUUUGGCGACAGUGGGCUAACGCCUGACGCGAGACCACGGCCGCGGUAGGAGGAUGGAAGGUUCGUUUAGGAUUAGGUAAACUUCC
rnacentral:rRNA from 1 species